rnacentral:siRNA from 1 species
CUAAAGCUUCCUUGCUUGUGAC